UGAUAGAGCCCGUACCGCAAACCGACACAGGUAGAUAGGAAGAAGAUUCUAAGGCCAACGGGAGAAGGGUUGUUAAGGAACUCGGCAAGUUGACCCCGUAACUUAGGGAGAAGGGGUGCUCUUUAAGGAGAGCCGCAGAGAAUAGGCCCAAGCGACUGUUUAGCAAAAACACAGCUCUAUGCUAAAUCGAAAGAUGACGUAUAUGGGGUGACACCUGCCCGGUGCCGGAAGGUUAAGAGGAGGAGUGAGAGCUCUGAAUUGAAGCCCCGGUAAACGGCGGCCGUAACAAUAACGGUCCUAAGGUAGCGAAAUUCCUUGUCAGGUAAGUUCUGACCCGCACGAAUGGUGUAACGAUUUGGGCACUGUCUCAACAACCUGCCCGGCGAAAUUGUAGUACCGGUGAAGAUGCCGGUUACCCGCGACUAGACGGAAAGACCCCAUGGAGCUUUACUGCAGCUUAAUAUUGAAUUUCGGUAUUUCAUGUACAGGAUAGGUGGGAGACAGGGAACCAUAGGCGUCAGCUUAUGGGGAGUCGACCUUGGGAUACCACUCUUGAGGUGCUGGAAUUCUAACCUGUGGCUCUGAAUCGAGUCAGGGGACAUUGUUAGGCGGGCAGUUUGACUGGGGCGGUCGCCUCCAAAAAGGUAACGGAGGCGCUCAAAGGUUCGCUCAGCAUGGAUGGAAACCAUGCUUUUGAGUGUAAACGCAAAAGCGAGCCUAACUGCGAGACUGACGGGUCGAGCAGUAACGAAAGUUGGAGUUAGUGAUCCGGCGGUAUGUGAGUGGAAAUGCCGUCGCUCAACGGAUAAAAGCUACCCUGGGGAUAACAGGCUGAUCUCCCCCAAGAGUCCACAUCGACGGGGAGGUUUGGCACCUCGAUGUCGGCUCAUCGCAUCCUGGGGCUGAAUUCGGUCCCAAGGGUUUGGCUGUUCGCCAAUUAAAGCGGUACGCGAGCUGGGUUCAGAACGUCGUGAGACAGUUCGGUCCCUAUCUGUCGUGGGCGUAGGAUAUUUGAAAGGAGCUGUCCCUAGUACGAGAGGACCGGGAUGGACGCACCGCUGGUGCACCAGUUGUCAUGCCAAUGGCACAGCUGGGCAGCUAUGUGCGGAACGGAUAAACGCUGAAGGCAUCUAAGCGUGAAGCCGACCUUAAGAUAAGAUAUCCCUUCGUAAGAGUAAGACCUCUCAUAGACUAUGAGUUUGAUAGGCCUAAGGUGUAAGCACAGUGAUGUGUUCAGCCUGCAGGUACUAAUCGGUCGAGGGCUUUUCCAA
rnacentral:rRNA from 1 species